rnacentral:lncRNA from 1 species
GUUUAUCAUGUAUUGAGGCAAAGUUUAAUAAACAUCUAUACUGUGGUAGAGAAUUUAAGUUGCGAUGGAGAAAAAAAUUGUGUUGGCUUGUUUCAUUGUUUUCUUGGCUAUGGUGCCCCUCAUAUUCGCACAAGUCUACUGUCCGCAUCCGCCUGGCCCGUGUCCUCCGAAUCCCAAAGAAUGUAUGAUCAAAUGCGAAAAGACUUGCAAAAAUUUAAAUUGUGAUGCUUUUUGCCUAACAUGUUGUUGUGCCGGUUAAAAACUU